UACGGAAGGCAGCAGUGGGGAAUAUUGGACAAUGGGCGCAAGCCUGAUCCAGCCAUGCCGCGUGAGUGAUGAAGGCCCUAGGGUUGUAAAGCUCUUUUGUGCGGGAAGAUAAUGACGGUACCGCAAGAAUAAGCCCCGGCUAACUUCGUGCCAGCAGCCGCGGUAAUACGAAGGGGGCUAGCGUUGCUCGGAAUCACUGGGCGUAAAGGGUGCGUAGGCGGGUCUUUAAGUCAGGGGUGAAAUCCUGGAGCUCAACUCCAGAACUGCCUUUUGAUACUGAAGAUCUUGAGUUCGGGAGAGGUGAGUGGAACUGCGAGUGUAGAGGUGAAAUUCGUAGAUAUUCGCAAGACACCAGUGGCGAAGGCGGCUCACUGGCCCGAUACUGACGCUGAGGCACGAAAGCGUGGGGAGCAAACAGGGAUUAGAUACCCG
rnacentral:rRNA from 1 species